AUUCUAUGAUGAGGUUAUUUUUGUAAUAAUUCUUUGAAUCUCUCUCAUGCCUCAUCAUACUAAGAAU
rfam:Gossypium hirsutum cultivar TM-1 chromosome 15, whole genome shotgun sequence